CAUGGUUCAUUGAAAUGAUGAUUCAGUUGUCCAGGCAGAACGACACAACCAGGCCAGCUCGAAUAAAUCCCACAAUUUGCAGGGUCUGGUUAACAACUCACAAAGAAAUUGUCACAAAUCCUAAGGUACCAGCACUCCCAUUAGGCGCAAGUACAAAGUCACUACACCGAGUGGCUCGAUUCUAGCAUACGCGCAAGUUUCUGAAUUUCCCAAGUAAAAGCAGC
rnacentral:lncRNA from 1 species